GUGAAGUGGCUAUGUAACUAACAUGAAAGUAGACUUCAGAACUGAAAGUUUUUUUUUUUUAAGAUUUUAUUUAUUUAUUUAUUUUAUGUAUUUGAGAGAAGAGCACACAAGUGGGGAGCAGAGGGAGAAGCAGGCUCCCCACUGAGCAGGGAGGACCCAGGCUGGGCUCAAUUCCAGGACCCUGGGAUAAUGACCUGAGGGAAGGCAGAUGCUUAACGAACUGAGCCACCCAGGCACCUCAGAACCCAAAGUUUUAUCAUGGGUCAAGGAGGACCUAUAAUAAUGAUGAAAAGUCAAUUCAUCAAGAAGACGUAAUAAUUCGAGAUGUUUAUGCCUAUAGUCUGAGCUUUAAAAACAAGGGCGGGGGGCGGGGAGGUUGAGAACCGAAAGGGAAAAAGAAAUAAACCCACAGUUAUUGUAAAUUUCCAGUUUUCUCAGAACAAGUAGAAAAUGAUAUUUCAAGCAAUUUGACCUAAUUGACGUUGAAAACCCACCUGACCUACCAGCGGCGGAAGAUCACAGAGAACAUUCACUAGGCUACACCAUGCGCUGGGCCAGAAGUAAGGCAAGUCGAGAGUUCUCAAGAACUACAGAACACCGGACAAGUAUUUCUGGGGACACCGGACAAGCAUUUUCAACCAAAAAGUUAUCUAUUCCAAGCAGCGGGUGUGUGCGCGCGUCCAGCGCCGUGUGAGGGAAGACGCCCUCCCCAGCAAGGACAAGGUGAGAACAGGUGCAGCGCCCCGAGCAGUGGCUGCUUCUAGACCUGGAGAGGGACGCGGCAAGGCGGGUGUCUUGGCGGGGGCGGGAACAGGGUGGCGGCUGGCACCCCGGAAAAAGAUCCUGGAGGCGAGGCGAGAAAAACCCGCUGCGGGCCGGGAAACUCUGAAGGAGGCUGGUAGGAAGCGUGCGGGACGGUCUGCUGCGGUGACCUUUGCGCAGCCGUCCACGAAAUCCCCACCGAAGGUCGAGCCUCUCCUGGUUAAUUCCGGGGUGGGGGGGGGUUGGGGGGGGGGGCGAUGCUGAUGGGGCCACACACGCCUUCCAAGAUGCUGAUGAAGUCACUCACCGAAUGCUUGCUCAGUCGAAAUGGCCAGUAUGUCAAGACGCUGAAUAGGCCGUAAGUUAGUGUACGUUUUGGGGGUGGUUUUUUGUUUUUGUUUUUUUUUUUUUUUAGCUUCACACUUGACCUAAGUCAGAUUUUUUUUUUUUCUGUGCCUAAUAUCUAUUCCUAAAAAAUCUUACAGCAAAGUGGUUAAGAGAGUAAAUUCAUGGGGAACACCUGGGUGGUUCAGUCAGUUGAGCGUCUGACGCUUGAUUUUAGCUCAGGUUGUGAUCUCAGGGUUGUGGACUCGAGCCCCACGGUGGGGGCAGGGCAGGGGGUCCACGCUCGGGGGGGGGGGUCUGCUGCAGAGUCUCUCUCCCUCCGCCCUCCCGCUGUGUCCACGUGUGCUCGCUCUCUCUCAAAUAAAAAGAAAGAAAUCUGAAAGGACUAAGAUAACACAUUUUGCAUCAUGUGCACCUUCCCACAGUUAAAAAUUUUAAAAAGUUCACCUCUGAUGGCAGAUGUUGUCAUCCCAGCCCUGAUUAUUUAAGCCUUGACGGUGUCCGUCACCCUUGGCGGGGAGCCGGCCGUCAGUGCCACCCAGUCCCAGUGCUGCGAGGGCACGUUCCCUCGAGAUCGGGGUGAUUAUGUAAUGAGUUGUGUGACUUCCUGGACCGCCCUCCCCUCACCGCACAGGGCCAUGGGGCCCUGAUGCUCUUCCUGACCCAGCCCUGCGCACUUCUUGGAGUUCUGCAAAUGCUCCUUAUGCCCACAGACAAUCCUCCUUCUCUUGACACUUGCUGUGAACUUGGCUUCUUCCCUUCCUUUAUCCGGGUCUCUACCAAUGUCAUCUGACCCGCACUUCCUUUCCCAGGCUCGUCACAUCACUUCGCGGACCCAGACUGCGUUCUGGGUUAGCCCGUCCUCUGUGUUCUACCGUGGACACUAAGCAAGGACACUCCUUCUCCCCGGGGCUCCCCCUGCUUCCUCCUCUGCCUACUGCCCAAGCACCAGCCUUCACUUCUCCCUGCUCUGCCUGCACCCCUCAGCCCUGCCCCCCUCACCCCUGCCCUCUGGGGUUAGUGCGCCUCCCUCUGUGAUCUCUUCCCAGUCCUGGAGGCUCUCUCUCCUUCCCUGCCCGUGUCCAGGGCCGGUCAAAUGCAGACACUCGGUGUACUUGGAUCUUUCCAGUCCAUGCAGCAGCUCUUGCUCUGUUUCGUGGGUCUCUAUUACAGUUGUCCGUCUGUCUGUGCCUGUGUCCGGUGCUAAGCACUUUGAGAGGCCAGGGAUGGGCUGAUUUCUUCAGUCCCGCACCCAGCCAAUCCCUUGCCCAA
rnacentral:lncRNA from 1 species